CCUACGGGAGGCAGCAGUGGGGAAUAUUGCACAAUGGGCGCAAGCCUGAUGCAGCGACGCCGCGUGAGGGAUGACGGCCUUCGGGUUGUAAACCUCUUUCAGCAGGGACGAAGCGCAAGUGACGGUACCUGCAGAAGAAGCACCGGCCAACUACGUGCCAGCAGCCGCGGUAAUACGUAGGGUGCAAGCGUUGUCCGGAAUUACUGGGCGUAAAGAGCUCGUAGGCGGUUUGUCGCGUCGUCUGUGAAAACCCAGCAGCUCAACUGUUGGCUUGCAGGCGAUACGGGCAGACUUGAGUAUUUCAGGAGAGACUGGAAUUCCUGGUGUAGCGGUGAAAUGCGCAGAUAUCAGGAGGAACACCGGUGGCGAAGGCGGGUCCCUGGGAAAUAACUGACGCUGAGGAGCGAAAGCGUGGGUAGCGAACAGGAUUAGAUACCCUGGUAGUCCACGCCGUAAACCGGUGGGCGCUAGGUGUGGGUUUCCCUUCCACGGGNUCCGUGCCGUAGCUACGCAUUAGCGCCCCGCGNGGGNGGUACGGCGCGACGACGAACUACAACGAAGUAGAGCGNGNGACGNGCGACGGACGACGACGAGGGAGGUAGG
rnacentral:rRNA from 1 species